rnacentral:rRNA from 1 species
CCUACGGGCGGCAGCAGUGGGGGAUAUUGCACAAUGGGGGAAACCCUGAUGCAGCGACGCCGCGUGUGGGAAGACGGUCCUCUGGAUUGUAAACCACUGUCCCCAGGGACGAAGAUGACGGUACCUGGGGCGGACGCUCCGGCAAACUACGUGCCAGCAGCCGCGGUAAUACGUAGGGAGCAAGCGUUGUCCGGAAUUACUGGGUGUAAAGGGAGCGUAGGCGGGAUGGCAAGUGGGGUGUUAAAUCUACCGGCUCACUGGUAGUCGCACUCAAAACUGCUAUGCUUGAGUGAAGUAGAGGCAGGCGGAAUGCGUAGUGUAGCGGUGAAAUGCGUAGAUAUUAGGAGGAACACCAGUGGCGAAGGCGGCCUGCUGGGCUUUGACUGACGCUGAGGCUCGAAAGUGUGGGGAGCGAACAGGAUUAGAUACCCUGGUAGUC